UCUCCUUAAAAUAUGGUCUUGACUUGGUUUCCAGGGCACCAGGGUCUUGGUUCUCUCUCGCUCACUUUUCUGUAUCUCUGAUCUCUAGUGCUGGAGGGCCUCAGGAUUCAGUCCUUGUACAUCACCUCCACUCUAGUUACAGUCAGAUUCCAGGUGAUGUCCCCGCAAUUCUCAGCUGAAAUUCCUUCUACAUACUGAUGACUCUGUAUUUCCAGCCUGGGCCUCUCCCUUGCAUAGCCAGCUGCCUACUCAACACUGCUAUUGAGGUAUCUGAUAGAUUGCUCAACCUCACUAUGCUUAAAAACCAAAUCUCUGAUCACCCUACCCAAAUGUGCUUUACUCGUAACCGUCUCCAUUUCAGAAAAAGGCAAUUCCAUUUUUCCAGCUCCUCAGGCCAACAUUUCAGAUUCAUUUUUUACUCCGCCCUCUUUUGCGUCAUCCAAUCUUGAUCAAAUUCUACCAGCUUCACCUUCAGAACACACACACACUACAAUCUUCCCUCUCCUCACUACCUCCCCUACACCCAUCCUGUUGAAGCAUAUGUCAUCUUUUGCCUGGAUAAUUUCAAUAGGCUCCAAACUGGUCUCCCUGCUUUUGCCUGUCCUUCUGCAGUCUUGUUCAUACAGUAGUCUGUAGCAGUCCUUUUAACACAACAGUCAGUUUGUUUCAUUCCUCUUCUCAGAACUCUCCGGAGUCUUUCUCUUCCAUUCAGAAUAUAAGACCCCAUGUCCUGCAACCACUGCUGCUCUGUGCCCUCCACUUCCCCAUGGCUCCUAAACCCUCCACACUCACUCCACUCAACCACACUUGCUUCCUGGACACACCAAAUACUCUCCUGCGCCAAGCCUUGUCACUUGCUGCUCCCUGUGUCUGGAAUGCUUUUCCAUCAAGUCUCUGUUCCUUCAUUUCUUCAAGCUU
rnacentral:lncRNA from 1 species